rnacentral:tRNA from 1 species
UCCCUGAUGGUCCAGUGGUUAAGACUCCAUGCUCACAUUGUAGGAGGCCUGGGUUUAAUCCCUUGUCAGGGAA